rnacentral:lncRNA from 1 species
AUGAAGAUUACAGGUCACUGGAUUUCUAAGAAAUACUAUGAGCAAGUACUAACCUCUGUUCAAAUCUUCUGGGGCUCCAGCUCAAACACUCAGGCUUUUAGGUCCAAUACAUGGCAAAGGGAGAUCUUGACUCACACUUGGAGGGUGUUCUUACUGGAUCAGCUUGCAAGUCUUCGUGCCAGUAAUUUUUCCCUUAUUUGCUGUACUUUGCCCUCCAGGUUUUUAGCUUUAUGCAUAAUGAAAAAUUAGUCACCUAACCUUAUGAGAGUAGAGAUGAAAGAAAUGGAGGGUAAGAUAAACAAGCCCCUUACCAACAUGGUAGGCAGCGAUGCCUGCCUGUUUCUGUAGAUGGUGCAGAACACUGAGACAGACUGGCAUGGGCUAACUCUUCGUACGAGUUUUCCACAUGUUCUUUCUUUACUCUUUACAAUAGGAAUUUUCCUGAAUACAGUUGUAAAAAGGUUUGAAAUAGUCUUUAAAAACUAGGACACCCUCACUUUACUCUUGCAUUAGCAGAAUGAGGAAGGAGAGUGUGGCUUUCCUUGGCCUGCACUGUUCUAUUUUUCACACUGAUUUUUUCUUGUAUCACUUGUAUGUGUGUUGUAUCACUAUGAAGUGUGCUCAAACUAGCCCCAUAUUAAAAUUAGUCCACAUCAGCUUUUUCAGUUAGCUCUAAUUAUGAUCUCAAUCAGAAUCUAUAACACAUGUGGCCAUCAAACUCUUAUUUAUAUGCAUAGAAGUCAUUCCGAUUCAUUAUCAAGACAGACUUGAGGUUAUCAUCUACUUCUUUUGACACAGGGUGUCAUUUUACUAAACAUUUGAAUUAUUAAAUGAAAGAAUAAUAUGACAACAUGGCAAAUAAAGUCCCUAGAAUUUUUUUCACACAAUGCAAUUUUAAAUAAAUUAAUAACUCUUAAUAAAAUCUUUCAUCUGAAAAUCCUAAAUUCAGAAAAUCAUCAAGGGAGAUAUGCAUACCACCUAAGGCAUUUACACCAUAUACACACCCUUUCUUGUUCAGGUGGGUAAGGACUGAAAAUCAUCAGGCUUUACCUGGGUACACCAAUGGAUAAUCACAUGUGGAGAUAAAUCUUGCUUGAAAAUACUAUACUAUCACUGUUGUUGAAUACAGGGGUCAGAAACAGGACCAGUAGUUGACUAAAUAAGGACUCUUAGGAGUAUG